GCCCCCGUAGCUCAAUUGGAUAGAGCAUCGGUUUUCUAAACCGGUGGUUGGUGGUUCGAUUCCACCCGGGGGUACGA
rnacentral:tRNA from 1 species